rnacentral:rRNA from 1 species
UACGUAGGUGGCAAGCGUUGUCCGGAAUUAUUGGGCGUAAAGCGCGCGCAGGCGGUUCCUUAAGUCUGAUGUGAAAGCCCCCGGCUCAACCGGGGAGGGUCAUUGGAAACUGGGGAGCUUGAGUGCAGAAGAGAAGAGCGGAAUUCCACGUGUAGCGGUGAAAUGCGUAGAGAUGUGGAGGAACACCAGUGGCGAAGGCGGCUCUUUGGUCUGUAACUGACGCUGAGGCGCGAAAGCGUGGGGAGCAAACAGG